rnacentral:lncRNA from 1 species
UGAGGAUUUCAAUGAUAAUCUGGAGUGAAGGGGGUUGCAGUUGCCUUCUCAAUGCACUCGAAAAGAAAAUUUAAAAGAGAGCAAAGGAGAAGAUAAAGAGUCAUCACUGAAAAAGUUAAAUUCUUGAGAAGACCGCCAAUUGAGUGGUCCCAUCAAUCAUGAUCAUUCGCAAUAGCCUUGCUUGUUAGGCUGAUGUCAUCAACCUUAAAUGCUGGAGACACAUGUGAAAGUGUGAGAGCACCAUCCCC